rnacentral:rRNA from 1 species
GGGAAGCAGGAGGGACCAUCCUCCAAGCCUAAAUACUACCUAGUGACCGAUAGCGCAUAGUACCGUGAGGGAAAGGUGAAAAGAACCCCGGGAGGGGAGUGAAAUAGAACCUGAAACCCUGCACUUACAAGCUGUGGGAGCACAUUACUUGUGUGACCGCGUACUUUUUGUAGAACGGGCCAACGAGUUACGUUAAGUAGCAAGGUUAAGCACUUAAGGUGUGGAGCCGUAGCGAAAGCGAGUCUUAAAUGGGCGUCCAGUUACCCGACGUAGACCCGAAACCAGGCGACCUAUCCAUGAGCAGGUUGAAGCGAAAGUAAAAUUUCGUGGAGGACCGAACCCACGUACGUUGAAAAGUGCGGGGAUGACUUGUGGAUAGCGGUGAAAUUCCAAUCGAGCCUGGAGAUAGCUGGUUCUCCCCGAAAUAGCUUUAGGGCUAGCCUCAAGCUUAGAGAAACGGAGGUAGAGCACUGAAUGUCCUAGGGGGUAUUGCACUUACCGAAGACUAUCAAACUCCGAAUGCCGUAUUCUUUUGCUUGGGAGUCAGACUAUGGGUGAUAAGAUUCAUAGUCAAGAGGGCAACAGCCCAGAUCGUCAGCUAAGGUCCCUAAAUGUAAGUUAAGUGGUAAAGGAUGUGGAAUUGCACAGACAACCAGGAUGUUGGCUUAGAAGCAGCCACUCAUUUAAAGAGUGCGUAAUAGCUCACUGGUCGAGUGAUUCUGCGCCGAAAAUUUCCGGGGCUAAAACUUACUACCGAAGCUACGGCAUCAUUAUGAUGGGUAGGGGAGCUUUCUAUGCGGCUUGAAGCAUGACCGUAAGGACAUGUGGACUGCAUAGAAGUGAGAAUGUUGGCAUGAGUAGCGAGAUGUGGGUGAGAAUCCCACAGGCCGUAAACCCAAGGUUUCCAGGGGAAGGUUCGUCCGCCCUGGGUUAGUCAGGACCUAAGCCGAGGCCGAAAGGCGUAGGUGAUGGACAACAGGUUGAUAUUCCUGUACCACCAAUAACCGUUUGAGAAAUGGGAUGACACAGUAGGAUAAGCUAACCGCACUGUUGGUUAUGUGCGGGCAAGUAUUGAGGCAGUUCCGAUAGGCAAAUCCGUCGGAAUAAUGCUGGGGUACGAUGCGGAGCGAAAUUUAGUAGCGAAGUAGCUGAUUUCACACUGUCGAGAAAAGUCUCUAUCGAGGUUAAAGGUGCCUGUACCGCAAACCGACACAGGUGGGUGAGGAGAGUAUCCUAAGGCCAGCGAGAGAACUGUUGUUAAGGAACUCGGCAAAAUGACCCCGUAACUUAGGGAGAAGGGGUGCCUUCGAAAGAAGGCCGCAGAGAAUAGGCCCAAGCGACUGUUUACCAAAAACAUAGGUUUCUGCUAAGUCGCAAGACGAUGUAUAGGAGCUGACGCCUGCCCGGUGCUGGAAGGUUAAGGGGAUCUGUUAGAGCAAUCGAAGCAGUGAACUUAAGCCCCAGUAAACGGCGGCCGUAACUAUAACGGUCCUAAGGUAGCGAAAUUCCUUGUCGGGUAAGUUCCGACCCGCACGAAAGGCGUAACGAUUUGGGCACUGUCUCAACAACAGACUCGGUGAAAUUGUAAUACCGGUGAAGAUGCCGGUUACCUGCGACAGGACGGAAAGACCCCAUGGAGCUUUACUGUAGCUUGACAUUGAGUCUCGGUGCUACAUGUACAGGAUAGGUGGGAGACUAUGAAGCAUGGACGUCAGUCUGUGUGGAGUCAUCCUUGGGAUACCACCCUUGUAGUACUGGGAUUCUAACCAGAGGCCAUGAAUCUGGUCUUGGGACACUGUCAGGUGGACAGUUUGACUGGGGCGGUCGCCUCCCAAAAAGUAACGGAGGCGCUCAAAGGUUCUCUCAGUACGGUCGGAAAUCGUACGAAGAGUGUAAAGGCAAAAGAGAGCUUGAUUGCAAGACAUACAGGUCGAGCAAGGACGAAAGUCGGACUUAGUGAUCCGGUGGUUCCGCAUGGAAGGGCCAUCGCUCAACGGAUAAAAGCUACCCUGGGGAUAACAGGCUGAUCUCCCCCAAGAGUCCACAUCGACGGGGAGGUUUGGCACCUCGAUGUCGGCUCAUCACAUCCUGGGGCUGUAUUCGGUCCCAAGGGUUCGGCUGUUCGCCGAUUAAAGUGGUACGCGAGCUGGGUUCAGAACGUCGUGAGACAGUUCGGUCCCUAUCCGUCGCAGGCGUAGGAAAUUUGAG